GUACAUGGGCCCGGAAUUCGAUGCGGGAGCCCCGCCGGCAGCUAUUAGGAUUCGCGGCUUCCACGGCCGACCGCUGUUGUUCGCAUCGGCAAUUGCGCGGGCGGAAACGAAUUUAUCAUCAUAUCCUUUAGACCGCCGGUUCUGUCGGCCUUUUCUGUAUACGACACUCUAAUUUAGAUCCAUAAAAACGACGACACGCCUAAAACAAUUAACGCGAUUAGAAUGACUCAUACAACGCUCGCAACACGGCGAUUACGACUGAGGACACGCUUACUUACGUACGAAUAAAAACAAUUUUCUUUUGACGACACUCAUCACAGUGGCGCGCGGCACAACAGUGCGUCGCGACGCGCCAGUUGAGAACCACUGCUUGGGACCUUCAGAUAUCAUCGGCCCGCGAUUGAGAGAUGUGGAUAAAAAUAGCG